CUGCGCGCUACACAUGCAGUCGAGCGGAAACGAUUGAAGCUUGCUUCAGGCGUCGAGCGGCGGACGGGUGAGUAAUGCAUAGGAAUCUGCCCGGUAGUGGGGGAUAACCUGGGGAAACUCAGGCUAAUACCGCAUACGUCCUACGGGAGAAAGCAGAACAUCUUCCGACCUUGCGCAAUAGGAUUUGCCUCGCUCGGAGCUGCUGGUUGGUGUGGUAAAAGCUCCCCACGGCGACUAUCCGUAGCUGGUCUGAGAUGAUGUUCAGCCUCAUCGCGACUGAGACACGGCCCCAACUCCGACCGUAGGCAGCAACAUGGGAUAUUGGCAGAUGGGGGCAACCCUGAUCCAUCCRUGGCGCGAGUGUGGAGAACGCUUUCGGGUUGUAAAGCACUUUCAAUGGGGAACAAUGCCUUGGGGCUAUACCCUCGGCGAAGGACCUCACCCACAGAAGAAGCACCGGCUAAGUCCGUGCCAGCAGCCGCGGUAAUACUGAGGGUGCGAGCGUUAAUCGGAAUGACUGGGCGUAAAGCGCGCGUAGUSGGCUUGCGUAAGCCGGUUGUGAAAGCCUCGGGCUCAACCUGGGAAUGGCAUCCGGAACUGUCAGGUUAGAGUGCAGGAGAGGAAGGUAGAAUUCCCGGUGUAGCGGUGAAAUGCGUAGAGAUCGGGAGGAAUACCAAUGGCGAAGGCGGCCUUUUGGACUGACACUGACGCUGAGGUGCGAAAGCGUGGGUAGCAAACAGGAUUAGAUACCCUGGUAGUCCACGCCGUAAACGAUGUCGACUAGCCGUUGGGGUCCUCGAGACCUUUGUGGCGCAGUUAACGCGAUAAGUCGACCGCCUGGGGAGUACGGCCGCAAGGUUAAACUCAAAUGAAUUGCGGGGGCCCGCCCACAAGCGUGGAGCAUGUGGUUUAAUUCGAUGCAACGCGAAGAACCUUACCUACCCUUGCAUCCUCGGGAGCCUGAAAGAUGCGGGUGGCCUUCGGGAGCCGAGUGACAGGUGCUGCACUGGCCGUCGUCAGCUCGUGUUGUGAAAUGUUGGGUUAAGUCCCGCAACGAACGCAACCCAUGGCCCUAUUUGCCAGCGAUUCGGUCUGGAACUCUACGGAAGAGUGCCGCGGACAAACCGGAGGAAGGUGGGGCCUACGUCACGUCAUCACUGCCCAUACGGGUARGGGUACACACGAGCUACAAUGGGAACCACAAACGGUUACGAGAUCGCGAACGAGAGCUAAUCCCGAACAACCGAUCUCGAUCAAGAUCGGAGUCUGCAACUC
rnacentral:rRNA from 1 species